UAAACGCUGGCGGCGUGCAUGAGACAUGCAAGUCGAACGAAGGAUCGGGCUUGCUCGAUCCUUAGUGGCGGACGGCUGAGUAACGCGUAGGUGACCUACCCCGAAGUGGGGAAUAACUGCCCGAAAGGGUGGCUAAUACCGCAUGUGGUCGCACGUUCAUUCGUGCGAGUAAAGCCGCAAGGCGCUUCGGGAGGGGCCUGCGUCCGAUUGGCUCGUUGGUGGGGUAAUGGCUUACCAAGGCGACGAUCGGUAGGUGGUCUGAGGGGACGAUCACCCGGACUGGGACUGAGACACGGCCCAGACUCCUACGGGAGGCAGCAGUCGGGAAUUUUGCUCAAUGGGGGAAACCCUGAAGCAGCAACGCCGCGUGAGGGAUGAAGGCCUUCGGGUUGUAAACCUCUUUUGUCAGGGACGAUGAUGACGGUACCUGGCGAAUAAGCCACGGCUAACUACGUG
rnacentral:rRNA from 1 species